UACGUAGGGGGCAAGCGUUGUCCGGAAUCAUUGGGCGUAAAGGGCGCGUAGGCGGCCCUUCUUGUCGCGUGUGAAAGCCCCGGGCUCAACCUGGGAAUGGCGCGCGAGACGGGGGGGCUGGAGUUCGGGAGAGGAGCGUGGAAUUCCCAGUGUAGAGGUGAAAUUCGUAGAUAUUGGGAAGAACACCGGUGGCGAAGGCGGCGCUCUGGACCGAGACUGACGCUGAGGCGCGAAAGCGU
rnacentral:rRNA from 1 species